rnacentral:rRNA from 1 species
AAGAUGGCCGGACCCGGGCGCACGGGUGAGUAACACGUAUCCAACCUGCCGAUAACUCGGGGAUAGCCUUUCGAAAGAAAGAUUAAUACCCGAUGGUAUAAUCAGACCGCAUGGUUUGAUUAUUAAAGAAUUUCGGUUAUCGAUGGGGAUGCGUUCCAUUAGGCAGUUGGUGAGGUAACGGCUCACCAAACCUUCGAUGGAUAGGGGUUCUGAGAGGAAGGUCCCCCACAUUGGAACUGAGACACGGUCCAA